GGACCCGCACAAGUAGUGGAGCAUGUGGUUUAAUUCGAAGAUACGCGCAGAACCUUACCAACACUUGACAUGUUCGUCGCGACUUUAAGAGAUUAAAGUUUUCGGUUCGGCCGGACGAAACACAGGUGCUGCAUGGCUGUCGUCAGCUCGUGUCGUGAGAUGUUGGGUUAAGUCCCGCAACGAGCGCAACCCUCACUUUUUAGUUGCCAUCAUUAAGUUGGGCACUCUGAAAGAACUGCCAGUGAUAAGCUGGAGGAAGGUGGGGAUGACGUCAAGUCCUCAUGGCCCUUACGUGUUGGGCUACACACGUGCUACAAUGGUAUCUACAACAGGAAGCAAGACUGCGAAGUUAAGCAAAUCCCAAAAAGUGCGUCGUAGUCCGGAUCGGAGUCUGCAACUCGACUCCGUGAAGUCGGAAUCGCUAGUAAUCG
rnacentral:rRNA from 1 species